rnacentral:lncRNA from 1 species
AGUAUAGUUGAUUUACAAUGUUGUACUAGUUUCAGGUGUACAGCAAAGUGCAUCAGUUAUACAUAUACAUAAAUCCAUUCUUUUUUCCCCACAUGGUUGUUACAGAACAUUGAGCUGACCAUCCCUGUGCUAUACAGUUGGUCCUUGUUAAUUACCUAUGUUAUUAUAUAUAGUAGUGUCUAUAUGUUAAUCCCAUCUUUCCAAUUUAUCCCCCCCCAACCCUACAGUUUCUCCUCUGGUAACCAUAAGUUUGAUUUCACAAACCGUGUGUUUGUUUCUGUCUUAUAAAUGACUUCUUUUGUAUCAUUUUAUAUUAAUAGUUUUAUUAUUUAAAUAUCUUUUUGAAUGUAAGGGGUUCUGUUUCCAUCUGUUCCACCAAUUAGACAGAAUUCUGGAGGUCAUCCUUUUAGGAAUGACUUUCCACUCCCAUCUUUAUUCCACCACCCUCUCCUGUAAUGAUAAAUUUCUUUAUCGUUCAGCCUUCAACUCAAGUUCACUCCCCACCCCCAUCUUCCAUUAACUGGGUCCUCUUACUCUCUACUUUCUUAGAAGCAUGUUCCUUUUCUUUGGAAUACUCAUCUCUAUAAUAAUACAACUGCCAGUAUCAUUAUUUGAAGAUAUCUGUCUCCCCCUUGUAAACUCUAGGAGUUUAGGGACUCUGUUUUGUCAUUGAAUGGUUGUCACUUGUCACAGUGUAGGCACAUAGUAGGUACUCAAUAAUUAUUUGUUGAAGGCAGGAAAGUGAUCCAGAAGAAAGGAAACCCUCUGCACAGUUAAAUAAGGAAUAUAUAAAAUAUAUGAAAAUGUUUCACGUGCAGAAUUGUGCUAUAUCCAUUCUGUUCCUCAUCAUGAAAAUGAAUUUAUUUCAUUCCAAUGGUACGUGAAAUUAACUUUUUUUUAAUCCUAAGUAACAGAGACAAAUUCUGGAUAAUUUAAAGAAACAAAGAGGGGGAAGGGGAUUUACUGGAUGAAUACUGAGAUAUUUCACAGGGUCAAUGGAGGAAGUGAGCAACAAAACCUCAGGAAGGCAGGGGGCAAAGGUAACUGGGUAGGAAAACUCAAAAGCAAAUGUUCAGAGGCCUGAUCUCUGGGCCCUGCUGUUAAGAGGAGGCCUCUAUUAAGACUGGUCUGUGCUUCCCUUUUACCAGUUUCAACUGUCAGAAGAGAGGGUACAACUGGCCCGGCUUGUGUCAACUGUCUGCCUACAGCUGAAUGAAUCCACAUGGUUGGAGAGGCAGGUCGUGUGGGACAGGCAUGGCCACUAGAGGCCUGCCCCUGUGUUUUGAUUCAGUGGAAUCUACUGUGACCAAAGUGGCCACCCCAGAUGACAACCCCCUUAGAUAGAGAAGAUGUUCACAUUAUCCAGCAAUCAUCUGGAGCAAGGGAAGGGGCAAUUUCAGGAUCAUUUCUGUAACACAUAUUUUCAUAUCGAUGUUUACUUACAUUUGUUGUUUUUAUAUUUCUUGUUAAUUUUUAUAUUUCUUUAUAGUUAUACAUAAUUUAUAUUUGUAUUAUCUCUAAAUAUUAUAUUAUCUCUUUUGAAACACAGAAAAGUAGAGAAAAAAAUAUAAUGACCCCUCAAGGUACCCAUCAUCCAAAUUUAAUAAUUACCAAUUUUGUACUAUUCUUAUUUUAUCUUCUCUGUACCCCAAAACUUGUUUCUUGGUGUAUUUUAAAAUAAAUUCCAUAUACCAAAAUUCACCUUAUAAAUAUUUCACUAUAUAUCUGUAUUAGGUAAGGAAUUUUAAAACCAUAAGAUCAUUAUCGCACCAGAAGAAAGUAACAAUAAUUCCUUAAGAUUAGAUGUAAUUGGUAUAUAUCCAGUUCUAUUAAGACUUGCUCCUUGCUAUAAGGAGAUUGCGUUCUAGGAGGAACGAUAAGAUCUUUAAAACAAGAGAAACAAACACUGUAAGAAAAGUAGCAAUGAAGCACCAUGUGAUGGUCAGAGAAGGGAGACAGUAGCGGAGAUGGAAAAAGUAAACUAUAUAUUAGAAUACAUUCAGGAGCCCAGAAACAACUGUGCGAUUAAUAUUUUCUUUUGAAAAAAUCAAGAAGGAAUUCCCAUUGUGGCUCAGUGGUGCUAGUAUCCAUGAGAAUGUAGGUUUGAUCCCUGGCCUCGCUCAAUGGGUUGAAGAUCCGGUAUGACCAAGAGCUGUGGUGUGGGUCGCAGACGCGACUCAAAACCUGUGUUGCUGUGGCGCAGACUGGCAGCUUAGCUCCAAUUUGACCCUAGCCUGGGAACUUCCAUAUGCCAUGGGUAUGGCCCUAAAAAGACAGACAGACAGACAGAAAGAAAGAAAGAAAGAGAAAGAAAAAAGAGGAUCACUGGAAUCUGAGAAAGUAGAAGACUCAGAAUUCAAACUGGCACCUGGGGACUGAAAGGCUGAAGUGCUUGAAGGAUCAGUGGAAAGUCAAAGGGCCUGGUACACUGCAGAAUCUCAGGAACAGAGGACACAGAGCAAAGGUGGGAGACCCAGCUGUCCUGCUCUCAACUGAAGGACAAGUGAAAAUCUCCAGCGAAUGGCCCAGAGGCUACAAGUAAUGAAACCAAGAAGAGGUGGGUCUUAAAGACACUCAGCUAGUAUGUGAUCCAGCAGAAUUUGUUGUUUCCUGCUGGCCUUACUUCACAUUGUAUGGGAUUAGGAUGUAUGAGCUGUUAAAUAUUUGAACAUCACCCCUGAUUACAAGAAAUAUUUCUAUGACAUUGGCUUUUACCAAGAGUAUCCUUAGUGCCUGGUCCAGUGCCUGAAACAGAGAAGGCACUCAAAUAUAUUCUGAGAGAGAAUAAACAAUGCAUAAAUUUUAUAUCGCUGUUCAGACGCAUCAUUAAACUAUUUUUAAAGUUACGUAGAAAAGUCUCAUUCACUAACUUACCUUAUGUUUUUAGAGCCCAUACUAUGAGCUUCCAGCAAUGCUGAGAAAUUUCUUCAUUAACUCAGGUAUAAAUUGCCUUUGAAAGAAAAAUGAAGAAAGAACAUUCUAGAGGAAUUGUUUUUCAAUAUGCUUCAUGUUUUCUAGUACUAUCUAGAGAACAAACCUAAAGGAGAAUUUAAGAUUAUUGCCAAAGUAAUAUUGUUAUCAAUGAAAUAUUUCUUUUAUUUGCGCAAGCAUGAGUGUAAAAGUCAUACAUUAUAACAGAAAAUAUCUGAGGAAUGAAUGUUCUUAAUUGAAAGGGAAAGUUCCUUAAAAAAACCUUACUAGUAGUAAUAUUUUAGAAUUACUUUAUUCUUCCAUAAAUAAAUAAUUAUCUAAAGAUCAUAUAUUCCUAUCAUUUCUAAUAGUAGUAUGAUCUUCCUUAUCACUCUCUCACUUUGGCGGAAAAAAAAAGUGGAGUCUGUAUAAGUAUCACUUUUUAUUCACACACACAUUUAAUUCAUUCUCUCAUCUGCAUAACUACCAUAGUAGUCAAAGGGGUUCCUGAGCAAGUUUAAUCUUGUAUGGGAGGAAUGAGUCAAUUAAGCUUCUAAAACAAUGUGUUAGAAUAAACAAGGCUGGUUCAUAACGGAUCAUUGAAUCAUUGGGCAGGAAGCAUCUUUGUUACAUAAACAAAUUAUAAAAGUGCAGUGCUGUGUAAGAAAUUUGGGUUUCUCCACAAAUCACUGAAGGUCAUAACUUAAAAUUAUAUGCAGUCUCCUCAAACAUCCAGCUCAGAAGUUUGUAUGUCUGGAUUUUGCUUUGUUUUGUUUUUCUUUCUGAGGCAUAAAUAUUCACAUUGAAUUAGAAAACAUACCACUCUACCAAAAUGAAAAUAAAGUGUGCAAAUUGUGAUUUUUCAGAGUUCCUCAGAAAGCUAUGCUACCAACUGUUAUCAGUUAACAGCCCCAGAAGGCUAUAAAUGAGUAAGGAGAGUUUGAUGGAGAUAUCUUUAGAAGCAGUGGGCAGGGUUAAGGAAAUCAACCUGUGAAAGGGAAGCAUCCCAAGACAAAAAUCAUUAGGAGCCAUGACCCUAGAUCUGAAGGGGGCAAGUGUUUCUGGAACCUGAAGAGGUUGGAGCUGUAUGGGUAUAAGAAGGAUGCUCAAAAGCAACUGUAGACACAGGUAGAAGAAAGCAGCUUUGAGGCUCUGCAGAGAGGGAGCGGGGUGAAUAAAUACCCUAACCUCACUCCCUAUGCCCUUCUGAUUUCUUUCCAAUGAAUUCUAUGGACUGAACCAAGCAGAAGCCAGAGGGCAAAGGAACAAAUCCAUAUGCUCCAUAAAGAUCAGCCAGAGUAGGGUGGAGAGUGGGUCUAGAAGGGCCGUGGGAAAUAGCCAACACACAUUCUCUUCCACCAUUAUACCUCCAGUUUCACUAGCCUUACAUCUUUGUCAGCAGUAUCUCUCAUUCCCCUGAUGAUCAAAUCAAAAAGCAAUCUAAUAGGUAUUCAGGAAGUUCAAACUAUCCAUACUGCUAUAUCUAGAUUCUAGCACUGUAAGGUCUUAUAGAAAAAUAUAAAGUACAAGACAUGGAUUCCUCCCCCAAGAUGAAGACUGGAAUAAAUGGGAACAAGAUAAUUUUUUGCAAUUUUUUUUUUUUUUUUUGGCCAUUUCUUGGGCCGCUCCCACAGCAUAUGGAGGUUCCAGGCUAGGGGUCAAAUCGGAGCUGUAGCCGCCGGCCUACACCAGAGGCACAGCAAUGCUGGAUCCGAGCUGUGUCUGCAACCUACACCACAGCUCACGGCAACACAGGAUCGUUAACCCACUGAGCAAGGGCAGGGAUCAAACCCACAACCUCAUGGUUCCUAGUCGGAUUCGUUAGCCACUGCGCCACGACAGGAACUCCAACUUUUUGUAAUUUUAUAGGUAAUUCAGGAAAAGAAAGUUGAAGAGUAAAGUUUUGGGGAGAAAUUGCACAAACCUAACAUCCCUAGAAACACUCUAAUAGCAACCUGGAACUUCGCCCAGCAUAUUUGCUGGGUAUCCUGUUCUACCAGAAAAAAAAUAACCUAAAGAGAAAUUGCCUAUUCUUUUCAUCUUCUUAGCAUGUACAUUUCUCUAAAGAGCAAAGACCAGCAGUUGUCAUAAUAGCUGUUUUAAACAUUUGGAGGGCUGCCCCAUAAAAGUCAAACCCAACAUCAAGUGGUGAUGGCCAUUUCCUCUACCUAAAAUGCUUUCCCUACUUCCUCAUCAUGCAAACUCAAUUUAUGCCUCAAGACUCCAUUCAAACAUGAACUUCGCUGAGCACUUUCUGAGUGUUCCAGGUAGAGCCAGAUUAUUCUCUGAACUUGAACCUCUAAAAUAAUUAAAAAGUUACUUUUCAAGAUAUCCGGGUUCAUAUAAUUACUUUUGAAGAUGCUACCUAAUGUUUUCUUUUACUACUUCAUUCCAGUAUAAACAUAUCAUAAAAGACACAUAUGACUAAGUUUUUCAGAACCAAAAACAUUUGCCCAGAGAGAUAUUUUUGUGGUUAAUAAAAUUUACUAAAAAAGAAAAGUAAGAACUUGCAGUAACAAUUGUACCAUGACAAUAACUCUGAACUUGAAUGUAUGAAAACUUUUAAUAGAGCAUCAAAAGAAAAACUCUAUUUUCCCAUUAAACCUCUCAUCCUUUGCUGAAUAAAAAGCUAUUACCAACCACCAUUCAUUUAUCUUUUAUAGAUUUUUCAUAGCAAUAAUUAAGGUUGUCAGUUUUUUGUUCUCUAAGCACACCUACAAAUCAAAUGACCUCAUAACUUACAUCUUGAGGCUGGUUAAUUUUGAGAGAGAAAACAGAAGUACUUAAAGAGGUUCAAUAAAUACUUUUCAUUUGAAAACUAUCCAUGAUUAAACUGAGGAAAGUCUAUUCUGGAACUUCACAGGGAAAAAAUAAUCUAAAUGGAAUGAAAAGCUAAAUAAAAUUGGUACAAAUAUAAAGAAGCAAUAUCUUUAAUUUCAAAUUUUUAUUUAGGACUCUAAAACCUAUGAUCAUUUGGAAUUCAAAACAAGUUGUAGAUGAAUUAGAAGGUGAAAUAGCUGCAACCUCAUUCAAUUUUCCAUUUGAAUCAGAUGUAGGUCUGAUUUAAAUAAAGAACUGUUCACUUAGAGCAGGUUCAAAGCCACAAUCUUCAAAAUAUUUUGGAAAGAAAUCAGAACUAUUCAUUUACAUCAAAGGUUUAUUGAGUGCCUGGUCUGAGCCAGACACUAUGCUAUGUCUUUCUCUUUCUCUCUCUCUCUCUGCUAGUAUAGUAUAGUAGGCAGUAUAAACACUGUUAAAAUUAUACGUGUUAUAUGCUGAAAGGGGAAGUGGGGAGUUAUCAUUUUUUAAUGGGCCGGGUACAAUGUAUACAGAGUCUGAUUUAAUCUUCACAAUGACCCUAAGAGUCUGCUAUUAUUCACCCAAUUUUACAAAUGAGAAACUAAAUCAGAUAGACUCAAUGAGGUCACAAAGGUUACCCUGUUAAUGAGGAGUAGGGUUUAAAUGCCAACUACGAUCUGUCUGACGGCAGAGUUUAUUCUCUUUUCUCUAUACAAUGAGAGGUGAAUCUUGAGCCACACGAGAAUUGUGAGGCGCCACUGUACAAGUACCUUAGAGUGCACUGCAAAAAAAAACCCCUCUGUGGGACACCAUGCCUGGCAUCAGGAGUGUGGUGGGAACAGGAGCUAAGAGUGAUGGAUUCUGUACGGUGGAGCCAGAUCUGUCUUCACCAAGAAAAACACAAAGGACAGAACUGGACAUUCUAAGAGGAGGAAGGGAAUUCUGGUGAAAGGAAAAAAAAUGGUACCCACUUUUUACAAACAUUAAAGGCCAUAUCUAAUUUGGGGAUUAUGGAGCAGAUCAAUCUCCAUGGCCAGAGCAUAAGAAGAAGAUGCAGCUGUUUCAAAUGGAAAGUGAGGUUGGGUCAAAUUGUAAAAUUUUCCCAAGAAGCAUUUCAUAGCCAUGCUGGCAAGGACCAUGAUGGCAAUAAUAGGUACUUAAAAUCACAUUUCAGAAAAUAAUGGAAAGAUUACAAAAUAUUAAGAUAAAAAUAUUGAUGUGUCCUAGAGAGACCAAAACCUUUCUUUUAAAGAAACCAAAUAUCAAGCUUCCCUAAUGCCAAGGAAGUUAUUAUUAUGCAAAUCGCUAUUGUAUUUCUGUUAAUUGGGGUUUGUUCUCAAUUAAAGAGGGGAAAAGUUUUUAUCUUUAAAAGUGGAAAUUAAACCAAUUUUAAACUAUGCAAUGAAACUCAACAAAAUUGCAAAGUGUGUUUUUCUAUAAUUAACAUUCUUCAGUGACCCCAUUUUCUACGUUGUCAGUAUACAUUGUUCUCACAAUGUGUAUUUUUUUUUUUUUGG